CACAAAUAUAGGGAGUCCACUGUUCACACGAAUAGAGUCUUCCCUGUAUUUGCAUGGCGUCGCACAAGUACAAGAUGUAUAACCAGAAAUACAACCACCACUAAAUGAAUAUACAAACAAUCACACAUUCAUACAUUCACCAUUCACAUUCAGAUCCACAUUCGGUGUUUAAUCAUAAAUCCACAUCUAUCAGUUAAAAUGUUUCCUACCCGGAAACUGAUUUUGAAAUACUAAGAUACAAAAUCCACAGAAAAACCUUUUAAAGCUUCCUACACGGAAACUCUUAUCUAUUUGAAAAUCCGCUACCACGAGAGGUAGAAAAUCAUUUUCAUUUCACAGAAAUACAAACGAGUUAUUAUAUUCAUAAAACCAACUGAAAUUUCAAAUAUUCAAAAGAUAAUAAAACUGAAUCAUAAAUA
rnacentral:lncRNA from 1 species